AUUGAACGCUGGCGGCAUGCUUUACACAUGCAAGUCGAACGGCAGCGCGGGCUUCGGCCUGGCGGCGAGUGGCGAACGGGUGAGUAAUGCAUCGGAACGUGCCCAGUAGUGGGGGAUAGCCCGGCGAAAGCCGGAUUAAUACCGCAUACGACCUGAGGGUGAAAGCGGGGGACCGAAAGGCCUCGCGCUAUUGGAGCGGCCGAUGUCGGAUUAGCUAGUUGGUGGGGUAAAGGCUUACCAAGGCGACGAUCCGUAGCUGGUCUGAGAGGACGACCAGCCACACUGGAACUGAGACACGGCCCAGACUCCUACGGGAGGCAGCAGUGGGGAAUUUUGGACAAUGGGGGCAACCCUGAUCCAGCCAUGCCGCGUGCGGGAAGAAGGCCUUCGGGUUGUAAAACGCUUUUGUUCGGGAAGAAAUCCUCUGGGCUAAUACCCCGGGGGGGUGACGGUACCGGAAGAAUAAGCACCGGCUAACUACGUG
rnacentral:rRNA from 1 species